AAAGGCGAUAAGGGGACCUCGAGUGCCAGGUUACAAAUCUGGCUGUCGUGAUGCAUAAAAAGCAUUGCAUAGCAAGGGCCGGGCAAGACCGGUGCCAGCCGCCGCGGUAACACCGGCGGCUCGAGUGGUAACCGUUAUUAUUGGGUCUAAAGGGUCUGUAGCCGGCCGGAUAAGUCUCUUGAGAAAUCCAGCAGCUCAACUGUUGGGCUUUCAGGAGAUACUGUUCGGCUCGAGGCCGGGAGAGGUGAGAGGUACUUCAGGGGUAGGGGUGAAAUCUUGUAAUCCUUGAAGGACCACCAGUGGCGAAGGCGUCUCACCAGAACGGACCUGACGGCAAGGGACGAAAGCUAGGGGCACGAACCGGAUUAGAUACCCGGGUAGUCCUAGCCGUAAACGAUACUCGCUAGGUGUCGGCCACGGUGCGACCGUUGUCGGUGCCGUAGGGAAGCCGUGAAGCGAGCCACCUGGGAAGUACGGCCGCAAGGCUGAACUUAAAGGAUUGGCGGGGGGAGCACCAUAACAGGUGGAGCUUGCGGUUA
rnacentral:rRNA from 1 species